AAAAAGACCCUUCCACAAAAACACGCGGAUCCUGAGGUUGGAGCGGGUCAGGUCACCGGUUCAUGGCAAAAAGACCCUUCCACAAAAACAUCGUGUUAGAGCGUGAGAGGCCUGCCCAAAACGACGUCGUUUUAGGGGCCUAUCCAAGUCAAGUUUUAAACAAAAAAAAAAUUAGUUAGCCCUUAGUUUCAGAAAAAAAAACCUGAGAGCUCUCCCCUCCCCCCUUCAAAGAUUUCCAGAAUCCGGCUAGCUCCAGCGCCGGACCAUUGCGGCAGCCGCUGUCUACGGUGGCUGGAAAAUAAAAAAACAUUUUUUUGGUUUUUUC
rnacentral:lncRNA from 1 species